rnacentral:rRNA from 1 species
AGAGUUUGAUCCUGGCUCAGGACGAACGCUGACGGUGUGCUUUAGACAUGCAAGUCGAACGAGAAAGCCCUUCGGGGUGAGUACAGUGGCGAACGGGUGAGUAACACGUGGGUAACCUGCCCCUCGCAGGGGGACAACCGGGGGAAACCCCGGCUAAUACCCCGUACGCUUGCCGGGCCGCAUGACCCGGCAAGGAAAGGUAGCUUCGGCCAUCCGGCGAGGGAUGGGCCCGCGGUCCAUUAGCUUGUUGGUGGGGUAAUGGCUCACCAAGGCAACGAUCAGUAUCCGGCCUGAGAGGGCGGACGGACACACUGGGACUGAGACACGGCCCAGACUCCUACGGGAGGCAGCAGUGGGGAAUUGUUCGCAAUGGGCGCAAGCCUGACGACGCAACGCCGCGUGGAGGAUGAAGGCCCUCGGGUUGUAAACCCCUUUCAGCGGGGACGAAGCGAGAGUGACGGUACCCGCAGAAGAAGCCCCGGCUAACUACGUGCCAGCAGCCGCGGUAAGACGUAGGGGGCGAGCGUUGUCCGGAUUUAUUGGGCGUAAAGCGCGCGCAGGCGGCCCGAUAAGUCGGAUGUGAAAACCCGGGGCUCAACCCCGGGCCGUCAUUCGAUACUGUCGGGCUCGAGGCAGGUAGGGGAGAUUGGAAUUCCCGGUGUAGCGGUGAAAUGCGCAGAUAUCAGGAGGAACACCGGUGGCGAAGGCGGCUCUCUGGGCCUGUCCUGACGCUGAGGCGCGAAAGCUGGGGGAGCGAACAGGAUUAGAUACCCCAGUAGUCC